rnacentral:rRNA from 1 species
UACGUAGGGUGCAAGCGUUAAUCGGAAUACUGGGCGUAAAGCGUGCGCAGGCGGUGAUGUAAGACAGUUGUGAAAUCCCCGGGCUCAACCUGGGAACUGCAUCUGUGACUGCAUCGCUGGAGUGCGGCAGAGGGGGAUGGAAUUCCGCGUGUAGCAGUGAAAUGCGUAGAUAUGCGGAGGAACACCGAUGGCGAAGGCAAUCCCCUGGGCCUGCACUGACGCUCAUGCACGAAAGCGUGGGGAGCAAACAG